UGUCGGCAGUUGAUAAUAAAUAAAAAUAAAUACCAAACUGAAAAAUACUUGGACACAAAUUUAAAAACAAAUGCGUUUUUUCAUUUAUGUCUACGUUAAAACAAAUUAUAAUUGAUGCAUAUAUGAAGCAUUUGACGUGCUGCGGUCCUGCCGUGUGCCGCUUUGUUCCUUUCGGCAGCGCGGGCUGCAUGUGUUUCGGCGUGUCCGGCUUUUGGCGGGCUUUUAGUUUGUCUGCGUUGUCUACGCGCGCCGCGAUUGCAAGACGCUUUGAAGCGAACGGCGGUGGCGUGGCCAUGAGCACGUCCAAAGAUGGAGAUUUUGCCAUUGUCAAGUUUCCUGAUGAAGGAGAUGCUGUUGCUGUGGUACGACGCAGCUGGAUACGUGAUGGAAUGUGUAUGUGGCCACAAAAGGCUAAAAAUGUGCAAGAGAUGGUGAGAAGCUGCACUGAGCCAGGUUCAGGAUGGAUUCAAACCACAUGUGUGGUUCUUGGUAUGUAUGAUAAUUAUAAAGAAGCAAGAAAUAAGCUCUCCAAAGCAGAGCUCACGUCAAACUUGGAUACAGACCCUGACGAGCCAAGGAGGAGGAAGAAAAAGCGGCAGUUCGAUAGCAGCUCAGAUGAGUCUGUUGAGCCAUACAGUCUUCCAACUCCACCAACACCUCCCAGAAUGCCUUUUGCAGCCUGUGAACUGCUAAGUGAUUCACAAGAGGAGUCUCUUCCUUGCAGUGCCGGUGCCUCGACAGCUAUGUGGGUAAAGCAGCCAAAGAAGCAACCUUUAGUGAAAAGAAGAAAGGGCCCACUCACCCAGAUUUCAGCAGCUACCGGCAGCAAGGCCUCUCCUCGUCACUGCACUGCUCCUGCUGGGACAUCGCGCCACAGCAGCCAGAGUAACGAGGUUGCUAAAGAAUCUACGUGAAGGAAGGACAUGACACCAGCACCAAAAUGUGACCAAAGUGCACUACAGCCAGAGCUUCUAAGACUGCUUCAUGGCAUUCGGUACCGGCAGCUUGAACAUUCGUCACAAUUGAACUUCCUGACAUCCUGGGUGAGAUCACGGAUGAAUAAUCUGGACGAUGAUGUGGAUGACAUAGAAGUGCCGCAAAACUUGGACGCAUUUUUGGAAUUUGAUGAUUCGCUGAAAGGUUCGGCAUCCAUGAAAAAGCAACUGAAACACAAAACUGGUCACAGUCAUCAGUUAACCAUUGCACCAAAUCCCAUUACCUCCAAGAUAUGAACGUCAGUACAGAGAACAUCGGCACCAUUGUUGCAGCUUGUGCAGAAGACACGAUGGAAGAAACUUGGGGAAACUGGCAUCGUAGAUGCUACAAGGAGGGUCCUGAAGGACCUGCUUUCUGAUCACGUGGCUAUGCACUACAGUUGGCAGGGAGGAAAAGGAAAGCGCCACUUCAGGGAGACAGCAUGCUGCGAAGUGAUGCUAGAUGUCCUAACAAGCAGAACUACUUGUGAUGGAACAGUGGCUGAAAUAGAGAAAGUGACAAAGUCAUGGUUGCGACACGCAAAAGAAAGAAUGGAGCGCAAGGCUGUUAAACACCCAGAUAAUGGCAGAACCAAUGACGAAGCAGCACUUCCAACUGACCUGGGAGAAGCAAGCAUCAUGGAGGAAACGUCCCACAGGCUGCUGGACAUAGAAGCGGACAAUGACGAUUCUGACCUGUAAAUUUAGCUCUAUUUUCCAUGUUGUAUGCCACUAGUCGUGGACAGUAUCUUGCAAACAAUCUUGCUUUGCACAUUUUCUUGGGUGCCCCACAUUGUACUGAUUAUUUUGUAAUUAUUGUUUACUUUUAAAAUAGGGUAAACUGCUUCUUUUGAUUUUUUUUGCAUAAUUGUUUCCUUGUGUUGCAGCGGUGUCUUGUGGUUCCUUACAGACUACCAAGAGCACUGGCAGUGUAAAACUAUUUCUUACUGCAUAAUGUGUGUCCAUCCCCUUGUACUUCACCUUAGCCUGUUCUCCUAUUAGCGGAUCAGGUUACGGCUUGUUUCUCAAGUUUUAUGGCUGUCCCAAACUAGCAAAUGUACCUCACCUGAAUACUAAAAGCCUACCAGCUCUUGCAAGUGUUUCUGUGAAGCCUUUUUUAUUUUUAUGCAGGAUGCUGAUCAGGAAUGCAGUGGUAAAUACCCUUCUAUGGAGACCCUCCAAUCAAUGGUGUCGACCAGAUUUUGCAUUCCCAUUUACCGCCACCAAGCUACUUGCAGUCACCUGCGAUUUCAUGCGAGCGGAUUAAUCGCGACAUUGUCGGAACUGGUCGAUGCCAUUGGCUGAAAGGCCUCAUUUGAAAGUCCUUUGUCGCUAAGUUCGUAAUUGUAUCUAUUAUUGUUUUUCAUUCAGAUCAUUCAAUUCAGUUUUUAUUCAGUUGGCGUGUUUUUAGCAUUGUAUUUUCGAUGUUGUCCUUUUCUUGCACAUUUCCUGGUAGGCUUUUGCAAUACGUCAGGAAUGUUAUAUCUUGGCAUAUUACAAGCACCAAUAUAGCUGCCGCAUUUUGAUAUUACGAAUGCCGUGAAAUUUCCUUCUGUUACAAGGUGUGCACAGAUUUUGGUCUGCUUUUGCUAGCCAGAAAGAAAUUCCUGUCUUUCGACCCUCUCUUUACUGUGUGUGCCCCACUCCUAGUCAGAUAAAUUUUUUGUAGCAGCUAGCCUGAUG